UGUAAAAACUGCACUUUUGUUGUAAUAUGAAAAACUAGAUUUAUUUUAGUAAAUUUACAUUUUGUAAACUUUUGUAGUAUCUUGCAAUCUUUUAAGAUUCUCUAAGUGUGCCACAGUUUGAAUUACAUACCGUAAUUUUGCGUGACUAUGUGUAUGUGGGUGUGCCACCUAGUGCUGCGGUUAAUAGCAUAAUUUUUGUGUGUUUCAAUCUGUGCACAAAUGAUUCACAUGCACAGCAAGAAUGGUGGUGACCAUCGCCGCGGUGUGCAAGAGAGUUGAUCGUGACACCUCAGUGAAACAAGACGUUCGAGAGUGGGGCUCCCGACGUCUCCACGUGUCGGAACCUGACAUCCUCGGACAGUAACAGCACGACUCCGAGAACGUGACCAAUGCCUGGCCGCUGGCAUCGAGACCCGCACCAGCUAAACUACGUCAACGUCGUCUAGCCAAAGCGGGCGACAAGGCAACGGGGGCGGCCCGAACCUUGACGAGGCUGCUCGGGGCGACCACGAUGGCCUUGUCGAUGACGGGCUUGCAGUCAGGGCCCUGCCGCAGCAGCGUCCACACGAGGGUGAUGCACUGCAGCGUCUUGCCCAGCCCCAUCUCGUCCGCCAUGAUGCAGCCGUACGCGUCAGCUAUCCGCUGGCCCGUCACGCACUCGUACAUGAACUUCACGCCCUGCACAUUCGUCACGGCACCAACUGCACGGGUGUUCACACAUAUACGUGAUACAGAAAACCACAGUUCACCAAAAUCUGGAAGGUUUCCAACCUCUCUCUGGUGAGGACGUAGCACGUUCGACAACAGAGGAUCCACAACCACAUGGACUGGUUGCUUCUGGCUGGAAAACAAGACAUUCUUCUUUAGUGUGUGCUGAAGAAUUUUUAUUAAACAAUCUUUACAUGUUUGGACAGCCUCAAAUUUCAAUAGCCAAUAAGAAGUUUAUUCACUAUUGAUCACAGAUAAGAGAUGAUUCCAUAUUUACAAUAAUACAUAUAUAGGAAUUUUU